rnacentral:lncRNA from 1 species
UAAAGAGGUAUGGGACUGUAGGUGGAGGUAUAGAGGUAUGGGACUGUAGGUGGAGGUAUAGAGGUAUGGGACUGCAGGUAGAGGUAUAGAGGUAUGGGACUGUAGGUGGAGGUAUAGAGGUAUGGGACUGCAGGUGGAGGUAUAGAGGUAUGGGACUGUAGGUGGAGGUAAAGAGGUAUGGGACUGUAAGUGGAGGUAUAGAGGUAUGGGACUGUAGGUGGAGGUAUAGAGGUAUGGGACUGCAGGUGGAGGUAUAGAGGUAUGGGACUGCAGGUAGAGGUAUAGAGGUAUGGGACUGUAGGUGGAGGUAUAGAGGUAUGGGACUGCAGGUGGAGGUAUAGAGGUAUGGGACUGUAGGUGGAGGUAUAGAGGUAUGGGACUGUAGGUGGUGGUAUGGGACUGUAGGUGGAGGUAUGGACUGUAGGUGGAGGUAUGGGACUGUAGGUGGAGGUAUAGAGGUAUGGGACUGUAGGUGGAGGUAUAGAGGUAUGGGACUGUAGGUGGAGGUAUAGAGGUAUGGGACUAGAGGUGGAGGUAUAGAGGUAUGGGACUGCAGGUGGAGGUAUAGAGGUAUGGGACUGUUAUUGGAGGUAUAGAGGUAUG